CCCUUAGAUGUCCUGGGCCGCACGCGCGUUACACUGAUGCAUUCAACGAGCUUUACCUUGGCCGAGAGGCCUGGGCAAUCUUUUAAACCUGCAUCGUGAUAGGGAUAGAUUAUUGCAAUUAUUAAUCUUGAACGAGGAAUUCCUAGUAAACGCAAAUCAUCAAUUUGCAUUGAUUACGUCCCUGCCCUUUGUACACACCGCCCGUCGCACCUACCGAUUGAAUGGUCCGGUGAAGCCUCGGGAUUGUGGCCAGUUCACUUUAUUGGGAGUUGGCUGUGAGAACUUGUCUAAACCUUAUCAUUUAGAGGAAGGUGAAGUCGUAACA
rnacentral:rRNA from 1 species